CCCCGUGCCCUCACCCGAGCCCUCUCACGCGCGAUCUCCCUUGCCCUAACCGGCAUCGCGACGGUUUCUUCCUUCUCCUCGUCGUGUGCCCUAGUUCUUAUCCGUGCCUAUUUCCUUUCGGUGCCGAUCCUGUCCUCAUCUCCCUCGUGCGCACGCCCUCACUCCCUCUGCCACUAGCGACGAGAGCCACCUCUCCUUUCCUCUUGCCGACACAGACGCCGACUCUCUCUGCCUAGCACUAUCGCCGGCCACCAGGUCUGACCGAGCGUCGCCCUCCUGAUCCUCUCCUCGCCUCUACUUCACUCUUUUGAUCUCUGCGUGCCGGCAGUCGACCGCCUCGCCUGUGCCCUAGAUUUGCAGCGCGCCGUCGCCGCACGAAAUAAUGCCGGCAGCCCGAGUCCCUCCCACCAGACAACCUCUGUGCUCUAGCGCCGAUUGUCGCCACUAUUCCCUACCGACGCUGCUGCCCUAGUGUCCUCUGCCCUUGAUCAAUCCACGUGUACUGGAAUUCAGAAGAGAAGUGCUUGCGGUGGGGUGUUUCUUUGGUCCAGCAGCCGCGUUCUUGAUUGUGGAUCAGUAGAGGAGGGUGUGAAGUGAGAUCUUGUUCUCUGAAUCGCGACGGUGAGUUGCUGAUUGACUGCUAUACCUUAAGUUGGGCAUCUGUAAAGUGAUGAAUUUUAGGACUUUGACGCAAGAUGAGUAUCUCGACGUCGAAUUUGGACCGGAUUGGACCUUUCUAUU